rnacentral:lncRNA from 1 species
GCAGCAUUGAAGGCGAGCAUGCCUCCGUGGAAGGGGGAAGAUUUGACGCCGGUUCAGGCACACCCAGGGCCGGUCGGCGUGGGAGAGCCGACGGCCGAACCUCCGUCGACGAAGGGACAACAACAGCGAACUCCAAGAUCUUCCCCUUGAGAGACUUUAAGGGGGAAAUCAAAGAGCGAGCGAAGGAUCGGGUCGCAAGCUAAACGACCUCCCACCGAGAGACAUUGGGGGAGGCCGGCGGCAAGCGAACCCAGAUCCGCGAGAAGGAGAGCACGGCGAAGUGAGGGACCUCCGGUAGCAAGCUUUGAAGACCUUUCCCGAGAGACUUCGGGGAAGGUUUGAAGGCAAGCCACCGGAGAUCUCAGAUCUGGCCGAAGAGGGAGAGAUCUGGUCGAAUCGGAGGGUCUGGUUCCGAGGGAGUCCCAAAUCCGCGAAGAAGAAGACUUGAGAAAGGUCAGAUCUGGAGGAGAGGGGGCUGACUGGGAGUGGACCGAACCCUUGCCGUCGUGUCGAGUCGCCCCGAGCCAGGCCGCCGCCGUCGCUGUGAUCGAGCACCAGCCCCAACGCCGUCGAACCGUGCUGCCACCCUCGCGUUUCGCCGCUGCUGUUUCUCCCGACACCGGCCACUGCUUCCCCGACGUAAACCUGUAGCUGUUCGAAGACUCGGCCGAAUCAAAGCCCUACAUCG